rnacentral:tRNA from 1 species
GCCACCAUGGCUCAGUCUGGUAGAGCGUUGCAUUGGUAAUGCAGAGGUCGCGGGUUCGAUUCCCGUUGGUGGCU